AGAAAUUCUUCAAUUUUCAAUUUUCAAUUUUCAAAAUGAAGAAUAAUUUUACUUUCAUGAGAAAGAAACUAAUCAUCUUAGAAAUUUUCUCCCCUGCUGUAACUCUGCUCUGUUUCUAUAGCAUUUCGAAUUUACUUGCGUUGUUUGAUUUUGUAUCAUUGAUCUCCACUGAAUGCACUCUAAUGUAUUGAUGACAGCUCGAACAUAUUUGGGUACUUGUAAAUUCUGUUUUUUGAGGAUAUAUUAAUUGGCUUACCCAAACUUUGAAAUCACUGACAGUGGAGUGUCAUGAUGCUAAAUCGAUAUAUAGAGAUUAACUUUAUAAAUUCUUCUCUGAAUUUGAUCCUAUUUGUGAAAAAAUGGCAUUGAAUGAUCUCUCUUUAUCAUUCUAAGAGACAUCCUCAUAUGUGGAAGUCCCCGAGGUCUGCAGUCUCUUAUGACAGCUCCUGCUUGAAGAAUUUGCAAGGUUUAACCAAGAGCUCAAUGUGAAGAGUGAAAUACUACAGGGCACUUCAGUUUGAUUAUUAAUGCUGCAGUAUAUAGUACUGCGUAUGCAUGACAACAUGGUGAAGGUGUAUUAAGAGUUUAAGUCUAACCAUGAUGAUCAAAAGUUCAUAUGCUGUAUGUUAACACUGGACAGGAAGAUUACCAGUCCAAAAACAAGGAAUCGUUCAUUGCUGAGAACAUAGGAAUCGUGGAUGACAGUUGCAUGCUUGCAUUUACCUUUUCUAGCCCACUGUCCAAGAGCUGAUACGAUAUAUAUUUGGACAUCCGACUCCCGGAGCCCAUCCUACUUGUGUACACUACGGGGAAACAAAAAGGAAAUGAAGAUCAAUAUAGUCGUUACUCCAUUUUUGUGUUAUUUUGUUCACAAGGGAUUCUUGCAGGCUAAUUUCCAGAAUCCAUCCUUUGUUUAAGCAGAUUUAGCUUGAGUUGCACUCCGCUAUGCGGGCAUCGAGUUCGUAUAAUCUGUGAGUGAAUUGCAUGCACGCCUUGGCAAAGUUGACUAGCAAAGCAGACGCAGUAGCACAGAGAGGUAGAAAGAAAGAUUUGCUGAAUGAAUUACCAAAGGUAAUCAAAUGGCUAGCAUUUCUGAGACAAUAAACCACUUGCAAAUCAAUUAACCGAAAUGCCACUUACAUGAGUACAAUAGAAGGCUUAUUUUACUUGUUUUUUUAGAAGCUUACCUUCAGUUUCAUCAAUUGAUCACCAGACAGUAGCGUUUCAGAAUUUCCAUGCUGUGACUGAUAAUUCUCCACAGCCAAGGGUAGUAGCUCAACAAGCUGGGGGGGAAAAAAGAACAUGGAUUUUGUAAUAGAUGUCGGAUAAAAAACAAGAGACUCAUAUUGGCAGAUGAUCUUUCUUCGACAGAACCUGCAUGAUUGCCAAGGUCAACUCAUAUUUUUUUAACAGGAGGGGAGAUAUCCGCAUUAGAGGAAGAAUUAAAGCGAAGAGAUUUGAUAGUUACAUCUUGUAGAGACAUUAAAUCCUGCGGUAGAACUUUGGAGAAUAUACUUUCUCGCCACCUCGAAGUAGAAUCUAACUUCAUUGACAAAGCUUGAAGAUGUUCAGCUGAAACAGUAACACGAAAAAGGGUGCUGAAACCUGAACUAAAGAGAGGCUCUGUGGACGUGGAGAUCCAACGGGUACUCGAAGUUGCAUCGACUUAUCUCCAGAUUUUUCAUACAUGGACAUUUGAUGGUAACAUGAAAUCUUUGUAGCACAACACAUUCAAGGAUUGCUAUAUUUUCAAGGGAUGGACAAGCGAUCGAAACAAAGUCAUUGCAUCCAAAGUAGAAUGACUGAUAAUUAGUUGCAGACAAAGGCAAUGCCAGCUGCUUCUUUUGUUCACUCAUUGACAUAAAUGUCAAGCUCUUGAAGCUUGCACCUGAAAUCAUUUAAUGCCAACUUUCAAAAUUAUUCAAAAGGAGAAUCACU